ACCAUCGACCGUUGAGUGGACCU
rnacentral:miRNA from 1 species